rnacentral:rRNA from 1 species
CCUACGGGGGGCAGCAGUGGGGAAUAUUGGACAAUGGGCGAAAGCCUGAUCCAGCCAUGCCGCGUGUGUGAAGAAGGCCUUCGGGUUGUAAAGCACUUUCAGUGGGGAAGCAAGCCUUGGGUCUAAUACCCUCGAGGAAGGACAUCACCCACAGAAGAAGCACCGGCUAACUCCGUGCCAGCAGCCGCGGUAAUACGGAGGGUGCGAGCGUUAAUCGGAAUUACUGGGCGUAAAGCGCGCGUAGGCGGUCUGAUAAGCCGGUUGUGAAAGCCCCGGGCUCAACCUGGGAACGGCAUCCGGAACUGUCAGGCUAGAGUGCAGGAGAGGAAGGUAGAAUUCCCGGUGUAGCGGUGAAAUGCGUAGAGAUCGGGAGGAAUACCAGUGGCGAAGGCGGCCUUCUGGACUGACACUGACGCUGAGGUGCGAAAGCGUGGGUAGCAAACAGGAUUAGAUACCCGGGUAGUC